rnacentral:lncRNA from 1 species
AGAUAGAGGCUCAUCCCUGUCCAACUCCUGGAUCUCGCUUCUGUAAUCGCGCAACGUCGCCUUUUACUGUAUUCCCCCUCUCUCCCCCUGCUCCUCUUCUCGCCCUGUUUUGUCUCUUUUUUUCCUUUAAUGUACCUCCCCUAUGUUCUUUCUAAAGGAAGCCUAAGCUGCUUCCACCUUGUACGCUUAGUUCAUUGCUCUUAGUGAAUGAAGCAGGUAGCGUGCUACCUUUCUCUCAAAAAAAAAGUUUUAUCAAAUAAGGUAGUUUGUUUAUUGUCAUAUUCUCUCUCUCUCUCUCUCUCUCUCUCUCUCUCUCUCUCUCUCUCUCUCUCUCUCUCUCUCUCUCUCUCUCCC